rnacentral:rRNA from 1 species
AGAAUCAACGCUGGCGGCGUGCCUAACACAUGCAAGUCGAACGAGAAAGUGGAGCAAUCCAUGAGUAAAGUGGCGCACGGGUGAGUAACACGUGACUAACCUACCCUUGAGUGGGGGAUAACCUAGAGAAAUCUGGGCUAAUACCGCAUAAUACCUUCGGGUCAAAGGAGCAAUUCGCUUAAGGAGGGGGUCGCGGCCGAUUAGUUAGUUGGCGGGGUAAUGGCCCACCAAGACUGUGAUCGGUAUCCGGCCUGAGAGGGCGCACGGACACACUGGAACUGAAACACGGUCCAGACUCCUACGGGAGGCAGCAGUGGGGAAUUUGCGCAAUGGGGGAAACCCUGACGCAGCAACGCCGCGUGGAGGAUGAAGCCCCUUGGGGCGUAAACUCCUUUCGAUCGGGAAGAUAAUGACGGUACCGAUAUAAGAAGCCCCGGCUAACUUCGUGCCAGCAGCCGC